GUCUACGGCUAUACCACCCUGAAUGCGCCCGAUCUCGUCUGAUCUCAGAAGCUAAGCAGGGUUGGGCCUGGUUAGUACGUGGAUGGGAGAAAAAUCUUACUCAUAGCCCAACAGAAUGAAUACCAGAAAGCUGAUACU
rnacentral:rRNA from 1 species